CAAAAGUUUGGUCCUGGCUUUAAUAUCAGCUUUAACCCAAUUUACACAUGCAAGCCUCCGCAGCCCCGUGAGAAUGCCCUCAAUCCCCCGUCCGGGGACGAGGAGCCGGUAUCAGGCACAUAAAUUUAGCCCAAGACGCCUUGCUUAGCCACACCCCCAAGGGAAUUCAGCAGUGAUAAACAUUAAAACAUAAGUGAAAACUUGACUUAGUCAGGGUUAAGAGGGCCGGUAAAACUCGUGCCAGCCACCGCGGUUAUACGAGAGACCCUAGUUGAUAUAUUCGGCGUAAAGAGUGGUUAUGGAAAACAAGCACUAAAGCCAAAGAGCCCUCAGGCCGUUAUACGCACCCGGGGCCUCGAACCACUAUCACGAAAGUAGCUUUACCCUCGCCCACCAGAACCCACGAGAGCUGGGACACAAACUGGGAUUAGAUACCCCACUAUGCCCCGCCGUAAACUUAGAUAUAUUAGUACAACAAAUAUCCGCCCGGGAACUACGAGCGCCAGCUUAAAACCCAAAGGACUGGCGGUGCUUCAGACCCCCCUAGAGGAGCCUGUUCUAGAACCGAUAACCCCCGUUCAACCUCACCACUCCUUGCCCCUCCCGCCUAUAUACCACCGUCGCCAGCUUACCCUGUGAAGGUACUACAGUAAGCAGAAUGAGCAUUCCUCAGAACGUCAGGUCGAGGUGUAGCGUACGGAGUGGGAUAGAAAUGGGCUACAUUAUCUGAAACAGAUUAUUUACGAAAGGCCGCCUGAAAUCAAGCACCCGAAGGUGGAUUUAGCAGUAAAAAGGGAAUAGAGUGCCCUUUUGAAGUUGGCUCUGAAGCGCGCACAUACCGCCCGUCACUCUCCCCAGCGACCACCCAAAAAAGGUAAAUAACGCAAUAAUAACAGCAAGGGGAGGCAAGUCGUAACAUGGUAAGUAUACCGGAAGGUGUACUUGGAAUAAU
rnacentral:ncRNA from 1 species